AGUGAACGCUGGCGGUAGGCCUAACACAUGCAAGUCGAACGGCAGCACAGUAAGAGCUUGCUCUUACGGGUGGCGAGUGGCGGACGGGUGAGGAAUACAUCGGAAUCUACUUUUUCGUGGGGGAUAACGUAGGGAAACUUACGCUAAUACCGCAUACGACCUACGGGUGAAAGCAGGGGAUCUUCGGACCUUGCGCGAUUGAAUGAGCCGAUGUCGGAUUAGCUAGUUGGCGGGGUAAAGGCCCACCAAGGCGACGAUCCGUAGCUGGUCUGAGAGGAUGUUCAGCCACACUGGAACUGAGACACGGUCCAGACUCCUACGGGGAGCAGCAGUUGGGAAUAUUGGACAAUGGGCGCAAGCCUGAUCCAGCCAUACCGCGUGGGUGAAGAAGGUCUUCGGUUUGUAAAGCCCUUUUGUUGGGAAAGAAAAGCAGCAGGUUAAUACCCCGCUGUUCUGACGGUACCCAAAGAAUAAGCACCGGCUAACUUCGUG
rnacentral:rRNA from 1 species